CCACACAGGACRGUGAGUUUCUGAUUCAAGAGAGAGACCAGGUAUGAGUGAGACAAUAGAGGUUUCUCUCUAAAAUGAAAAAAGCACUCAGGCAGUGAAUGAAGUGAGGUGAGGAAGUAYGCAGUAUGCGUUUUGUCUAUAUCCGCUUGAUUCCUUUCCUGAACUUCAGUGGCCAGGUUUGGGAACACACAUAGUCUGUAUGUCUGGCCUGUGUUCUUGAAGGGGUGAAUGGAAAACUGGGGUUGUCCUGAACUUCACCUCUGCAAUUCCUGUGCAUCUGGCUCUGGAGCACAGGCCUGCCAGGAAACCGGCUGGAGCUACUCUCUUGUGGUGGAUUAACAAGUUACUGCUGCCAGCUCCCUUACCGCUCUUAAGGCGAUGUGGUUCUACCUUGCCAGUGGAGUGACCAGUUCUUUGACAUGGACAGUUGCCAGCAAUUUCCAGGGAUCCGCUGUUGACUUUUAAGGCUGGGCAGAUCUCAGGAUAGCCCUGGCAUUGAGGAAACAAUGCUUUACAGUCAUCUCCCCUGCCUUAACUCAGGUAUAAGUCUCAGGCCCAUCAUGUCUUUCAUGUUUAAUGCUAGAAGCAAAAAUCAGUCUCUUUUGUUUUUCUAAUUUCRUGUCUCAGCCCACUGUGAUGCCUCAGGUGAAGCUGAACAUUUGGCUGAAACAAGGAGCAGGAGAUCAGACUUACGAGUGACUGGUCCUCUGCUCCUUUCCAAUGAGACUAUUGAGUGGCAGAGAGUUGUCUGAAAACAAAGCAGAAGAGAAAGAUGAUGCAUCUGAGGACCUGGCUCUUCAUUAAAAACAUUUUGCAGAACAGUGGACUACUCGAGAAGCAAAUCAAUGCCCUAGCCUGCAGGUGUCUAAACAAGACUGGGCUAUGGCUUUAUCCUGCUAGAAAUACGAGGCUUGCGGGCACGGCAGCCAACUCUCCCCCACCGCAGCCAAUCAAAGGGGCGCUGCCGAAGCUGGGCUGCUCCUGUGAUAAAAGUGUAGGAAGCUCAUGGCUGCAGAGUAAUGCAGACAAAGCACGAGUGAGAGGGAGACAAAAAGAAUGGAGUCCCAGAGGAUGUAAUCCACCCUGUUAAAGGAAACGCCGUAACCUCUACAGCUGUGUUUAUGCUGCUUCAUGCAAUAGGCACCAGCCUCUCAUCCCUCGGGAGAUUUUUACAGCAUUAAUUCAUUCUGCACGAACUCAGCCAGCCAGGCUCCUCUUCAGCAGCGAGCUUUUCCAUCCCUCCAUCUCCCCCCGUUUCUGAGAGCCCUGCCAGCAGGAACUGCACCCCUCUGGCUGACCUUCCAUUGCUCUGGAUCAAAUGUGUCCUGUACCCAAUGAAGCAGAUCCYGAAGUGCCACGAAUGGACCCCAGGAUUCUUAUUUUCCUCCUGUACGUGAUGAUCCUCCACGAGCUGGUCAGUGGCUGGAUGGAGUAUCAAAAGCAAGUAGCCAAGCCAAAGAAGCAAGCGGGUCCAGUUUGGUCUUCUAGGUGAGUUAAUGCAUAUUAUGUUUUCAAAAGGUGAAUAGCUCAAUUCUUGAUGCAGGUGUGUUUUGAUGGGCAUGAUGAUUGCCUUUUGUAUACAUAUAUCUGUCCUUACGAAUGUGUGCAUGUGUAUAUCAUCUGUUGUGUAUUAAUGUACAGUGGUAGGAUUAGAUCUGUUCAUGUUCCGAAGCUGCACUGUCUGAGCAUAUCGUGGAUUGGACACACUCACAGAUACAACAUAUACCUGCGAAUUGUUAUUUUACAGAGACAUGCUGUAACUCAGCAUAUUUCUUGUGACUCAGGUUCCCAAUCAACUUAUCUUGAAGAGAAAAUGUG
rnacentral:lncRNA from 1 species